AAGGUGGUAUCGCUUGUAAGCGAACCGCACUUGCCGGGCAAGUAACGACUACGAAUGCAAUCGAAUACCGUCAAUGAUUCGCGGCGGAUUCUGCUCAGAGCCGAAGGGACCGAGACAGAAGG
rfam:Cohnella sp. VKM B-2846 B2846_26, whole genome shotgun sequence.